rnacentral:lncRNA from 1 species
AGCUUCCUCUCCAGCACCACAUCUGUCUGCAUGACACCAUGUUCCCUGCUUUAUAAGAGUUGCUCUGGUCAUAGUGUCUCCUCACAGCAGAGGAGGAAGCCUCCUUCUUAUAAGUGUCAGGCAGUAGGAAGAUUUGGCCCUAAAGUGACUUCUCCUGCACAACAAAGUAGCUAUAAGAAGAAAUCCACUUCACCUCUUCGAAGAACGAAUCUGAUUGUAGGCUAAACUACUAUAGGAUCCUUUGGGCAUAUAUAUCCAGUUUAGUGUUUUUAUGGGAUUCCUGAGUGUGCAAACCUGUGGGUCUCUGCAUCUGUUUCUGUUUAGAUCAACAACCCAAAGGACAGGCGAGAGAGUUUGAUAUAUGGAAAUAAUCUUAGAAUUUCACAGUCUUUGACAUAGCAACUUCCACACAGAAGAUUCAGAAGAAGGGCUGAAUAAUGACACGAUUUAAAACAACAGAUAUGAAGGCUCAACAGUUGCUGGAGAAUAUAGUUUCCCUUUGGAAGUUUGUCCAGCGUUCUACAGUUGCUCCCUCCAGCCUCUUUAACUCUCUCACUCCACCAAUCUCCACUUCCCUUCAAAUAUAAGCCAAGAGCCUCUUUAACCACACAACUCCAUAGCAUACACCAAAGCAGGAAGAGACAAUCGGCACAGCUGGACGAUUUCCUGUGAUGGGAGCCACAUCAAAGACUCUCUAGAUGUCCCCACAUUUGAUCCUCAUGAGACUUUAUAAAUAGAUACACUGAUCUGCUUGUUUUCCCGAAGAAGAAACUAAAUCUCUGAGAUCGUUGUCUUGUUCAAGGUGAUAGAAGCCACCUACUAAUAAUAAUGACAUUGUUACUU